CCGUAGGUGAACCUGCGGAAGGAUCAGU
rnacentral:rRNA from 1 species